rnacentral:rRNA from 1 species
UAACGCGUGAGAACCUGCCUUGGGGUCUGGGAUAGCUGCGGGAAACUGCAGGUAACACCGGAUACGCACGAGAGUGGAAAGUUUACGCCCUGGGAUGGGCCCGCGUCGGAUUAGGUAGUUGGUGGGGUAACGGCCUACCAAGCCUGCGAUCCGUAACCGGUCUGAGAGGAUGAUCGGUCACACUGGGACUGAGACACGGCCCAGACUCCUACGGGAGGCAGCAGUGGGGAAUCUUGGACAAUGGGGGCAACCCUGAUCCAGCGACGCCGCGUGGGUGAUGAAGGCCUUCGGGUCGUAAAGCCCUUUUGCCGGGGAAGAUGAUGACGGUACCCGGAGAAGAAGCACCGGCUAACUCUGUGCCAGCAGCCGCGGUAAGACAGAGGGUGCUAGCGUUGUUCGGAAUUACUGGGCGUAAAGGGCGCGUAGGCGGCUCGUUUAGUCGGGUGUGAAAUCCCGGGGCUCAACCCCGGAACUGCAUUCGAUACUGGCGGGCUAGAGACCGAGAGAGGUGGGUGGAAUACCCAGUGUAGAGGUGAAAUUCGUAGAUAUUGGGUGGAACACCGGUGGCGAAGGCGGCUCACUGGCUCGGUUCUGACGCU